GCUGGCAUAGCUCAGUCGGUAGAGCGAUGAACUCGUAAUUCAUAGGUCGCCGGUUCAAUUCCGGCUGCCAGCU
rfam:Flexistipes sinusarabici DSM 4947, complete genome.